rnacentral:sRNA from 1 species
AGAUGAUCCAGGAUUGUGACGAUCAUA